rnacentral:rRNA from 2 species
GGGUUGUGAGGUUAAGCGACUAAGCGUACACGGUGGAUGCCCUGGCAGUCAGAGGCGAUGAAGGACGUGCUAAUCUGCGAUAAGCGCCGGUAAGGUGAUAUGAACCGUUAUAACCGGCGAUUUCCGAAUGGGGAAACCCAGUGUGACUCGUCACACUAUCAUUAACUGAAUCCAUAGGUUAAUGAGGCGAACCGGGGGAACUGAAACAUCUAAGUACCCCGAGGAAAAGAAAUCAACCGAGAUUCCCCCAGUAGCGGCGAGCGAACGGGGAGGAGCCCAGAGCCUGAAUCAGCAUGUGUGUUAGUGGAAGCGUCUGGAAAGGCGCGCGAUACAGGGUGACAGCCCCGUACACAAAAGCGCAUGUGCUGUGAGCUCGAUGAGUAGGGCGGGACACGUGGUAUCCUGUCUGAAUAUGGGGGGACCAUCCUCCAAGGCUAAAUACUCCUGACUGACCGAUAGUGAACCAGUACCGUGAGGGAAAGGCGAAAAGAACCCCGGCGAGGGGAGUGAAAAAGAACCUGAAACCGUGUACGUACAAGCAGUGGGAGCACCCUUUGGGGUGUGACUGCGUACCUUUUGUAUAAUGGGUCAGCGACUUAUAUUCUGUAGCAAGGUUAACCGAAUAGGGGAGCCGGAGGGAAACCGAGUCUUAAUUGGGCGUUAAGUUGCAGGGUAUAGACCCGAAACCCGGUGAUCUAGCCAUGGGCAGGUUGAAGGUUGGGUAACACUAACUGGAGGACCGAACCGACUAAUGUUGAAAAAUUAGCGGAUGACCUGUGGCU